UACGGGGGGUGCGAGCGUUGUCCGGAAUCACUGGGCGUAAAGGGCGCGUAGGUGGGCUGGUAAGUCAGUGGUGAAAUCUCCAGGCUUAACUUGGAAACUGCCAUUGAUACUAUCAGUCUUGAAUACCGUGGAGGUCAGCGGAAUAUGUCAUGUAGCGGUGAAAUGCUUAGAUAUGACAUAGAACACCAAUUGCGAAGGCAGCUGGCUACACGAAUAUUGACACUGAUGCACGAAAGCGUGGGGAUCAAACAGG
rnacentral:rRNA from 1 species